AGUGAACGCUGGCGGUAGGCCUAACACAUGCAAGUCGAACGGCAGCACAGUAAGAGCUUGCUCUUACGGGUGGCGAGUGGCGGACGGGUGAGGAAUACAUCGGAAUCUUCUUUUUCGUGGAGGAUAACGUAGGGAAACUUAUGCUAAUACCGCAUACGAUCUACGGCUGAAAGCAGUGGAUCUUCGGACUUUGCGCGUUUCAAUGAGCCGAUGUCGGAUUAGCUAGUUGGCGGGGUAAAGGCCCACCAAGGCGACGAUCCGUAGCUGAUCUGAGAGGAUGAUCAGCCACACUGGAACUGAGACACGGUCCAGACUCCUACGGGAGGCAGCAGUAGGGAAUAUUGCGCAAUGGGCGCAAGCCUGAUCCAGCCAUACCGCGUGAGUGAAGAAGGCCUUCGGGUUGUAAAGCCCUUUUAUUAGGAAAGAAGAACAGCAGAUUAAACCCCCGCUGUUCUGACGGUACCCAAACAAUAAGCACCGGCUAACUUCGUG
rnacentral:rRNA from 1 species